CUAGGUUAACAUCGCAUUGUGUAGUUGAUUGAGGACUUGGUGUGCGCAGACGAAAAAUGGAGGGCAACCAACAGAACAUAAUUGUUCAGACUUAAAACCGAUCAGAUAAAUCAGAUGAAACUUUGGUCAUGUGUUCAUGACUUCAACUCUGUGGUCGACAACAAAGGAACUUGCUGCUGAAUCUGAACGGUGCAUGCAUUCUCAUGACGAUGGCUGCCAAUACCAAGAUAUUCGCGGAUGAAGAGACUAAUAACUGGUUUAAGGCUUGCAUAGCCCUCUCUGUGACAAAGGAAGGACUGACUCAAUUCAUUGAGAAUACAAUUAAAAAGGUCCACGCAGCAAUUGGUAGCAGUUGUGGGCAAUGUUCUAUUGAAAAAUUGAUGCAAUCCCCCAAAUGCCAAACAUGUGAUAAAGUGAAACUUGGUAUAGAAUCAUUUCAUCGAUUCAAUGGUCCUUCAUGGAAGAACACUAAAGCCCAAGGUUGGAAAUCAAACUGGUGGCAAAUUGCCAAAUGUUACCUUCCUCCGACAGGAUAUGCUGGCGUGUCAUCUGUUCAGGAAUCAGACUUUAACGCGGUGAUCAACAUCAUGUGGAACUGCACAGAUUUUCAGAAUCAUCUCUGCCCCUCAUGGCUUUCACCUUUGCCGCCUGACCCGCAAUGUCCAUUAGAAAAGGUCCGUCAAAUUGGUAGAGAUGUACGCCACAGUGCCACGUGCAAGACAACAGUUGCUGAACUUCAGUACUAUUUCAAAACAUUGACCAAGCUUCUGGCAGAUUCGAAAUGCCUGGCAAGAGAUCCUAUUGCAAAUAAAGCCGUAAUUAUGCUAGCUGAUGUAUGUAUAUAUAAUUAUACAUUUUUUAUGUCAUUGUUGGUCAAAUUUCUUACUUGAAAAUUGCAUUAUGUCAUAUCAUUACUAGAAUCCGCUAAUAGUUACGACAGUAAAUAUUUGAA